rnacentral:rRNA from 1 species
GAUGAACGCUGGCGGCGUGCCUAAUACAUGCAAGUCGAGCGAACGGACGAGAAGCUUGCUUUUCUGAUGUUAGCGGCGGACGGGUGAGUAACACGUGGAUAACCUACCUAUAAGACUGGGAUAACUUCGGGAAACCGGAGCUAAUACCGGAUAAUAUUUUGAACCGCAUGGUUCAAAAGAGAAAGACGGUCUUGCUGUCACUUAUAGAUGGAUCCGCGCUGCAUUAGCUAGUUGGUAAGGUAACGGCUUACCAAGGCAACGAUGCAUAGCCGACCUGAGAGGGUGAUCGGCCACACUGGAACUGAGACACGGUCCAGACUCCUACGGGAGGCAGCAGUAGGGAAUCUUCCGCAAUGGGCGAUAGCCUGACGGAGCAACGCCGCGUGAGUGAUGAAGGUCUUCGGAUCGUAAAACUCUGUUAUUAGGGAAGAACAUAUGUGUAAGUAACUGUGCACAUCUUGACGGUACCUAAUCAGAAAGCCACGGCUAACUACGUG